rnacentral:lncRNA from 1 species
AGAUGCACCUGGCACUACUCUUCAAAGUGUGGUCAGCAGACCUUAGAAAUACAAAACUGCAGAUUUAUUGAAUCAGAAUCUGCAUUUUAACGAGAUUCUCAGGUGAUUCAGGUGCAUGUGAGAGUUUUGCCCUUCCCCUUCCUUCUUCUUGGUACAUAGACAUGUGGAGAUGGACGAGCUUUUUGUGACCCUGAAGCAUCAAACCACACGCUGAGGAUAGCUGUACAGAAGGAGUCCAAAGAAGCUCCCAACUGCCUACGUCCAGACCUCACUUACACAGGUCAUAUAUACUGCUUCUUUAGUGAACUGAGAUGUAAGCAGCAUGGUAGAUUUGAAACAUCACGGGAUCCACAUUCAGCCCUAUUUGGACUAUGAGAUCCCACAUUCCUGAACAGAGGUGACUGCAUUAGGAGUAAGCACUUGAUACAGACUGAGGUAAGCAGUUUCCCUUUUCCAAGAAUUUGGAGUUGCGACCAAGGCAAAGGUGUCAGUCCUUGGAAUGACCUAGAACUGCAAUAUGUCAAUUUAGGAGCUGAGAGGAAAAUGCAUUUCAUCAUUGGACAUAAGAAAUGCAAACAUCUGACUUGGGGAGGGAAUGUUAAAGGAAAAAUGGUAAGGCAUACUAUUCAGGGCCAUCACUAUAAGUGUAGGGACCACUGCAGGGGGUUCUGCAGUUGGGGAGAGAGAUUGGGCUCAACUGAGAAUUCAACAAGGAAAAGUGGGGAUUUAUAGCCAAAGAAAAGGGUAGAGGGUCAGUGGAUGGAAACUUACUAAGAGGAAACAUCAGGGGUAAGGAGGCAUUCUUGCUGAACUGACUUAACAGGAUUCUUGCUGAAGACAGGUCAGGGUGCUCACACAUCACCUAGUGGGUGGUGGGGGAUGAGGAGCCUGUUCAGAUAUAGAGGGUGGGGGAUUCUGGUUAAAAUGACUUAGCAGGACUCUUGCUAAAAUUGGACAAUGCAGAGAUAAACACAGAAGCCUAAAAUCAGGGCUUAGUUGAGAAGAGAGUUCAGGGAAGUCUGAGUAGAGUUUGGUCAAGGAGAGAAACUUAGUCGGGAGAGAGGGAAGGAGAGAAAGAGACAGAGAGUGAAGCUAAACAUCCAGAAAGAGUUGGUACCAAUGGUUUUUUCAGUGCUGAUGUACAUUUUGGCUCCUGGACAAAUG